ACGCUGGCGGCAUGCUUUACACAUGCAAGUCGGACGGCAGCACAGAGAAGCUUGCUUCUUGGGUGGCGAGUGGCGAACGGGUGAGUAACAUAUCGGAACGUACCGAGUAAUGGGGGAUAACUAAUCGAAAGAUUAGCUAAUACCGCAUAUUCUCUGAGGAGGAAAGCAGGGGACCUUCGGGCCUUGCGUUAUUCGAGCGGCCGAUAUCUGAUUAGCUAGUUGGUGGGGUAAAGGCCUACCAAGGCGACGAUCGGUAGCGGGUCUGAGAGGAUGAUCCGCCACACUGGGACUGAGACACGGCCCAGACUCCUACGGGAGGCAGCAGUGGGGAAUUUUGGACAAUGGGCGCAAGCCUGAUCCAGCCAUGCCGCGUGUCUGAAGAAGGCCUUCGGGUUGUAAAGGACUUUUGUCAGGGAAGAAAAGGCUGUUGCUAAUACCGACAGUCGAUGACGGUACCUGAAGAAUAAGCACCGGCUAACUACGUGCCAGCAGCCGCGGUAAUACGUAGGGUGCGAGCGUUAAUCGGAAUUACUGGGCGUAAAGCGAGCGCAGACGGUUACUUAAGCAGGAUGUGAAAUCCCCGGGCUCAACCUGGGAACUGCGUUCUGAACUGGGUGACUAGAGUGUGUCAGAGGGAGGUAGAAUUCCACGUGUAGCAGUGAAAUGCGUAGAGAUGUGGAGGAAUACCGAUGGCGAAGGCAGCCUCCUGGGAUAACACUAACGUUCAUGCUCGAAAGCGUGGGUAGCAAACAGGAUUAGAUACCCUGGUAGUCCACGCCCUAAACGAUGUCAAUUAGCUGUUGGGCAACUUGAUUGCUUAGUAGCGUAGCUAACGCGUGAAAUUGACCGCCUGGGGAGUACGGUCGCAAGAUUAAAACUCAAAGGAAUUGACGGGGACCCGCACAAGCGGUGGAUGAUGU
rnacentral:rRNA from 1 species